rnacentral:lncRNA from 1 species
AGAAUGAUGGCCAUGCAUUGCUGCUUUCUUUGUAUGCAGGGCACACCUAGGCUACUAUUGAACAAGCUCUAAGGAAACGGAAGACACACAGGGUUGGAGAAACGGAGUGUAGCACGUACUUUCUGGGAAAGGGCCUAUUCUCAGCCCAAAGUCGGGAAGCACAGGCGUGCACACAGACUUCACAAAGGAACAUAAAAGACAAGUACCAGGAAAAGACAUAUUUAUACGGAAGAAAAAAAGGUGAAAACCAAAAUGACCCAAAUGAAAAGAAGAUAAAUAUCAUUCCUCAAACAAUACCUUCACAUCAUAGUUGGAAAAAGUGGAAAGAGACAGAAAACGGGUAAUUAUUGCCAAGAGACUUAAACCAUGCAUUUGGACAGUGAUUAUUUAUUUUUAAACUUGCAAGUAAUCUCAUGAACACAUUUUUGUUAUAUUGGUUAUAAUAGUACAGUCAUAGGAAAGGUCUCUGUUGGCCCCUCCCAAACCCACCUCUCUUCCCAGAGUUUAUCAAAAAGAUGUAAUGGGAAUAACAAAUCUAGACAGUCAUCAUUUUCUCAGUAAGAAAAAUACACACUAGCUACUCCUUGCUACUCUUAUUAUGCUCACUUUUGAUCAUCAGGCAACUUUGC